GCCGGAUGGUACGGCCCGACGGCAGCCGCCACAUCAGCCCCGGGAGGGGCCCGGCCGGGCCAGGUGACAUGGCGGGCCGGGGCUGUCCGCCGGGCGGGGGCGGCGAGGCCUGUGGGGUCUCAAGCGACGGGAGCGGCUUGCUAGCUCACAGCUAGCCACGUCCGGGCCACUGUGGGUCGAAUAUACCAGGUCGUCUCCGAGUGUUGUAUUAAUCCCUACAAGACCUUUGUGGGUUUUAAAUAACCGUUUUCCGUGAGGUAAAAUAUGACGCUCGCCAUCCCGCAUCACCGCUGCAACGCUCCGGUUAGUGGGAGAAGCCUUCCAAAGGGGCAGAGAACCUGGCUCGACACGGCGAUCUCUCGGUGCGGUGGUACAGACAGAAGGACAAGACGAGUAUCUCUCUCUAGUGUUUUCCAGUGAUCUGAAGGGUUACCUUGUGUAAUCCUAACAUCACAGUAUGAUUUUUAAACUGGUGAAGUUCUCUUCUCUCACGGUGGCUACCACUGUGACCAACUUUUUGAGAGAGCUGACCUCUAUUGAUUACACCAUUACCUUAAUUCUCGGGCACCUCAGGCUAAUGCAAAAACAUGUGGAGUGUCAUUUUUUUCAGCAUGUGUGCUAAUACAAUAUAUUCAAAGUGGCAAAGGGAACCUGGAAUUUGUCUUGGAUACCAUCUUGAGGUUUCGGUGAUAUUUUUGGAGGAAAAAGAUCAGAACAGUUCUUGAGGCAUAGUUCAUUUGUGUUCACUUCUGAGAUGACCGCUUGCAUUUUGUGUAGGGUUUUUUGGUUGGUUUUUAGCCCAGUGCUUUCAAUCAAAUCAUACAGAAUAAGAAUGCCAGCAUAAAAAACUUGUGGGAAGAGUAGAACAGGUAUUGUACUUAGCAUUUUAAAUUUAGACCCUCUGUUACGUUGCAGUAUCUUUCAAGUUUUGAUAAAAUCUUGAGAGAACGUACGUAAGAAAUUAAGCCAAGAAACACCAGUGCUGUAAGUUAUCAGCUAGUCACAAGAUGGCAUCCUAAUUCCAUUCAAUUCAAUUGGUUGAGCGUGUCAGUUGCGUAUUUAAGCUACGGGCAGUGCUUAUGAAUGGAAAUGAUGACUGGUGCUUUCUGCAGUUACUUUUUUCCCCUCAUUAUAUCAUGGUAGUUGACCAAACUUUGAUUUCCUGGUUUGCAGCAGCAUUGACACGCUAAAGAAAAUGCCGUUACUUCUCCUGCCAUCACAACCAUGUAUUUUUCCAAAUGUGAGGACAUGCUGUGGUUCAAUCCGUAGUCCCAGCUGGGUCCUCAAGAUUACAUGGCUCUUCCAGGAGCAUGUAUGCAGUCUCUCUCACCUGUGUUUCACCACUCUCACAGUUGCCUGUAUUGUUGGAAUGUGCAAUUUUUGCAUGUUACCUUUUCUUCCUGUUCGCAAGCUAAACUACUACUUUUACAAUCACUUUGGUUGAACACUGAAUCUAAAUGUUGGAUCCUUCUUUCCUAUCUUUGCAUGGUCUGCUAUUUGCACUUUUCCUUACUUCACAGAGACUUUUGAUUUCUCUUCCUUCCUUCCUUCCCCCUUUCCUUUCUUCUAUUGAAAUUUUAGUCCCUGUGCUAUCUCACUGCUAUUCUUUCUCUUCCAGUCCUCACUCAAUCUGAGGGUGAGUGGAACAACUUUUAAAACCAUGGAUUUUGGCACUGGCAGCUGGAGCCUGUUCCUUGAUUAUACUUUCUUCAUGCUACAGGUUUUCCAGAAGCUUUUGCUGCACUUAUAGCAAAUAGGGACGUGUUCGAUAACUUAUGUCAAGCACAAUCUUUCUAGCCCUGUUGAAAAAUUAUUUCUGCAAUUGAAUUAUUUUUGACAGUAUUUUUCUUCAAGACUCCUCCCAUGGGUUGCAAAAGCAGUCUUCAGUUGAGAAUGUCUUAUUUAUACCAAAUAAAUAGUUAUGCUAUUAGCUUAAGUACAGACCAAUCAAAAAUCUAUAGCUGAAUGAGAACAUGUUGAUUCCUCCAUUCAUUUUCUCAAAAAAUGCUAUAUAGGCGAAAAAUUGUGUAGCGCUUAGUUUUCAGAAGUGCUGAGCAUGCAAAACUCUCCACUUGGCUGCUGUAUAAACAUGAUUUGAAGGGCCUCUCAGCUUAAAUAAUGCCAUGCUUUUUUUAAUUUUAUACACAGCUUUAGUCUGCACCCACGCUUGUGGGGACCUCAGCUGAAAUAGCACUGAGGCGAGAGGCAGAAGGAAAACGAGAAUCACUCAAGUCAUUCACAUCUCUGUAGCAGCAUGAAAAGUUUCAAGGGAUGGCAUUAUGAUCGUAAUUACUUACACCUGAAAUAAUUCUCGCUUUAUAACUUUCUGGUUUAGCUCUCUGUGCAGAUAGUGGAGAUAACUAUUUAUCUUCCCAUGAUUAAUAACUAUCAGGAACAUUAAUUAGUGAAUGUAUCCAAUACUUUGGAUAUUAAAAACAUAAAUCAUUAUUAUGGACUGGUAGCAUCUUAAUCUGGAGGUCCAGAAUCUACACAUAUUUGUGUGUCUUGCUUGUUUGAUGGUGUUUUCAGGAAAACCAUUUUACAAAACAUAUGCCUUAUUUUUCACCAGUGUCAACCAUAUCAUUCCUGACUAAUAAAGUACAGGAAGUGGGGGGGGAAAAAAAUCACUAAUAAAAUGAGAGGCAUUCAUACCUGAAAUUCUUAUUUUUAUGCAGUUUUAGAAAGUGUAUUUGCAUUCCAAAUGCUCAUAUUUCUGUGCUUUCCUGAACAGGCUGAUGUUUGUUUCUACCAUAUUUACCUUUGUUAGUGCAUUCCUUCUGGUGCAUAGCACAAAUGCUACAACGGCUUUUUCUCUGGAAAAACAUUAAAUACCUACUUUAACUUAUCUUCAAGAAUAUUUCGUAAAAAUCCAAGGUUAUCCAAGACGCCAAAAAUGCUGAGUGUAGGAAACACCCUGAUUGAUUGACUAGAUAGCAGGAGAAAUUAAAUGCCGUGGAAAAAGGUAACUCAGUGAAAGAAAAUAGACCAACGUUGUCUUGAGUAUCUCAUCUGACUCGAAAUAUAAAGUACAGCCUCCCCAUCUGUCGCCACGUGACUGAAGGACUGUCUUAUUACCGCGACCGACAACUCAUCUACUUUUCGUAGCGCACAAUGAAAACUGCCUGCAGUUCACGUUCCCAAUAAGCAUCCUUUCCAGCCUUCAGAAGGAAAAUUAAUUUGAUUUCGGAAUAAAGCCUGUAUUAAGCCCAUGA